UACGUAGGGGGCGAGCGUUGUCCGGAAUCAUUGGGCGUAAAGAGCGCGCAGGCGGCUUGGCAAGUCGGGUGUGAAAUCCCGGGGCUCAACCCCGGGACUGCAUUCGAUACUGUCAGGCUAGAGGUAGGUAGAGGAGAUCGGAAUUCCUGGUGUAGCGGUGAAAUGCGCAGAUAUCAGGAGGAACACCGGUGGCGAAGGCGGAUCUCUGGGCCUUACCUGACGCUCAGGCGCGAAAGCUAGGGGAGCGAACAGG
rnacentral:rRNA from 1 species